rnacentral:rRNA from 1 species
CAGCCGCCGCGGUAAUACGAGGGGGGCAAGCGUUGUUCGGAAUUAUUGGGCGUAAAGGGCGCGUAGGCGGUUUGACAAGUUUGGUGUGAAAUCUAUGGGCUCAACCUAUAGCCUGCAUCGAAAACUGUCGGGCUUGAGUAUGGGAGAGGUGAGUGGAAUUUCCGGUGUAGCGGUGAAAUGCGUAGAUAUCGGAAGGAACACCUGUGGCGAAAGCGGCUCACUGGACCAUUACUGACACUGAGGCACGAAGGCCAGGGGAGCAAACGGGAUUAGAUACCCCCGUAGUCCCUGUCUCUUAUAC